rnacentral:rRNA from 1 species
CCUACGGGGGGCAGCAGUGAGGAAUAUUGGUCAAUGGACGAGAGUCUGAACCAGCCAAGUAGCGUGAAGGAUGACUGCCCUAUGGGUUGUAAACUUCUUUUAUAAAGGAAUAAAACGAGGCACGUGUGCCUUUUUGCAUGUACUUUAUGAAUAAGGAUCGGCUAACUCCGUGCCAGCAGCCGCGGUAAUACGGAGGAUCCGAGCGUUAUCCGGAUUUAUUGGGUUUAAAGGGAGCGUAGGUGGGUUGUUAAGUCAGUUGUGAAAGUUUGCGGCUCAACCGUAAAAUUGCAAUUGAUACUGGCAGUCUUGAGUACAGGUGAGGUAGGCGGAAUGCGUGGUGUAGCGGUGAAAUGCUUAGAUAUCACGAAGAACCCCGAUUGCGAAGGCAGCAUACUAAACUGUGACUGACACUGAUGCUCGAAAGUGUGGGUAUCAAACAGGAUUAGAUACCCCUGUAGUC